rnacentral:lncRNA from 1 species
AAGGGAGAGAGAGUGUUCCCUGCGUCAACAAUUUAUUCAUUCCACAAACAUUUCUAAGUGUCCAUGGUGACCCAGACAUCAUGGGAACUUCAGGGUUCCAGAGCUGAGUAGAACACAACUCCCAUCCUUAGGGAUUCACCAUCCAGUAGAGGAGAAAGACGUCGAGACAGAAGACAGAAGGGAAAGGAAAAGCUCAAUGCUGUGCCUUCAACUUAGCUUCUCCAUUUUUUGGAGAAGGGUUAAUAGGGGAAGCAGAGAGAGAGAGAUGAGAGACCAAAGUUUCUAGGGCCUUUAUCUCCAGAGCAGAGGGUCUGAAACCUUAGUGAGCAAAAACUGAUCCGGAAGACUUGUUGGAGGCAUACCUUCCAGUUCAGCGAGCCAUUUCAGCAGAUUGGAGGUGGGCCCAGGGCUCUGCAUUUUCCCAGCUCUCUGGGGGAUCUAGAUGCAGGUAGUCUGUCAUCACAAGGGGAUGCUGCUCUUCCACAGUGGGCCUGGAGAACCAGAACUGGCAACUGCCUGGCCCCAGAGCUGCCAGCCAUGAGGCGGGUCCACCAGAGACUGAUGGAGGAAAGAGGAAAGGGAACAGGGAACCUCAGAGAGGAUUAGGGUGGGAAAUGGAAAAAGAGAAAAUCCAAGGAGUGCAAAAGAGAAAAGGGAGGCCUCUCUAAGGAGGACAGCGAGUAUUAGCGGAGGUGCUAGGGCCACUCAGGGUGACUGAUGUCCAUGUGUUAGCCACGGACAUUGAAAGAUUUUUGGUCUUUCAAACUCGAGGACUUGCCUAACCAAGCACAGAGCAAAGAACAGAAAGCUGACUUUGCUAGAUGCUUGGGCAUCAAUAUCACGUGGAACCAGCCUUUUCUUUGAUACCUCUUGCGUUUCUUGCAGAUCCCCUGCCUGCAGCACGUGCUGAUCUCCAAGGGUGAGGCUGGAUGAAGCCAGGGGCUAUGGAAAGGGAGACUGUUUCAGAGGACUUGACACCAUCUUCAGUAAUUUCUCUGGUUCUUGGCAGCUCCAUUUGGCUGCGUCCCUACCCUGCAUAACCCUCCCAGCUAGUCUACUCCAGGGCAGCAUCCAGCUGGUGACCUGAGAGGGCAGUGGCGCACCAGUCUCCAUGAAGGUUGAGCUCCGAUGGCCAACAGCCAUUUCCACCUUGUGGUCUACAACUCUUCAUCCCGACUGCAUGGAGGUUGGUCUCUCUCUUCAGCUGGAUUUAGGCCACCAUCUGAGCCCCCGGGGUACGUUUUGUCUGACCCUGGCGCCAUUCGAACGGUUCUUCUACAGCAUCAGGCGUUCACCUGGCUCCUAGGGCUUUUGUGCUGUAGGCCUAUAUUUCCAGCUACUUUUGGAAAAAAUCUCUCUGGAGGCUCAAUGAGCUUGUCACAUCAGCCUGCCCAGAGGUAAAGCACAUUUCUCUGCCCUCACACGCCUCUCCCUUGCUGUCUUUAACUUAAUCAAUGCCCGUAACACCCUCUACAAUGCUGAGCAAGCUCAGAUCCUCCUAGUCUUCAUGGCAUCCUUCUUUUUCUUUUUCCAUUGGUCUAAUCUGAUUGAAUUUAAAUUUUGCACAUUUUGCAUGAGUAAUUCUCUUGCAUGAAUCUCUUUCUCUUCCUCCCUUCUGCCAUCACUGGCUCUUGUCCUCUCUUUACUGGACUGUAGAAUAAUCUCUUUGGUGGUCUUCCUGUGGUCUUCCCUUCCCCUCCACUAAAUCUACUCUCUAUUCAGUAUCAAGAAAGACUUAAUCAGCAGUGAAUACUCUCCACCAAGCCCUUGACCCAUUGUCAGUCUCUGGCAUCAGAUCCUUUCCAGUAGGGCAAAGUGCAACUGCAGCCAGCUCAUGCCUUCAAGAGAAGGACUGAAGAUCAUUGUGUGCCUAAACCAAGUAAGUCUAACUGCUCCUUCACCAGCUCACCCAAAACUAUAGGGGCCUUCUACAGUCACGUUCCCAUAGCUCUGGGAAUUCCUCCAGACUUGAACUCUGGUUUGGCUUCCCCAGUUUAUAUCCUAUGCUUCAUACCAAGGUCUUCCCACUUUGCCUAUCCUACAAGAAGUAGUGGCCAGGUUGGACUUUCUGAUAAGUUUGGAGAUUGCUUCUUGGCUGACCCUUGGUACCUUGUUCUACUAGCCACAGCUAAGCUCCACAAAGCCUAGGUGAGUGGGACACUGCAACCCAGCCCAGACCCAACACUAUGACCUUCUACCAGUUGAGCAUGGGAUCAAGAUGAGACUUCUAGUGCCAAUACUAAAGACUAUGAGGUUUGCAAGGUGAAGUUCACUGUCAACCUCUUAUAGUCCAUAACAAAUAUUUCUAGUUUGUUCACUCAUUGAGUCAUCCAACAAGUAUUUAUAGAGCAACCGUCAAGUGCCAUAUACAUUCCAUGGUGUUAGGGAUAUAGCAGGGAAAAUGUCAGACAAGGUUUCUACUCAUAGAAUCCAUAUUCUACUAUUGGAGGAAAAGAGAUAGCACAUAUAGCAUCAGUCAUUGUCAAUGAUCUUAAAUGUCUGAAGACAAUUAGCUUUAUAAGAUGUAAGUGACUGAGAGGGAAGGGCUAUUUUAGACAAAAUGCUCAAGGAAUUAGCUCUGGGAAUAUGAUGUUUAAACAGAGAUCUGAAUGACAAGAAGAAGCCAGCAUGCCAAUGUUGGUGGGCAGAGUAUACUGGGUAGAGAGACCAGCACAAGUACAAAACUCUAAAGUGGGAAUGAACCUGGAUGAGUCUGAAGGAUGGGAAAAAGAAUCAUGUGGCUGGAUUUGAUGAGCAAAGAGGUGAAUAAGAGGAAAAAUUAAGUCAAACAGGAAGACACAGACUAGAUCAUGUAAGGCCUUGGUAAGUGAUAUGGUUUGGCUGUGUCCCCACCCAAAUCUCAUCUUGAAUUGUAGUUCCCAUAAUUCCCACUGUUGUGGGAGGGACCCAGUGGGAGAUAAUUGAAUCAUGGGGGUGAUUACCCCAUGCUGCUGUUCUCAUGACAGUGAGCGAGUUUUCACGAGAUCUGAUGGUUUUAUAAGUUUUAUAAGGGGUUUUCCCCCCUUUUGCUCGGCACUUCUCUCUUGCCUGCCACCAUGUAAGACAUACCUUUGCUUCUCCUUCUCCUUCUGCCAUGAUUGUGAGGCCUCCCACCCAUGUAGAACUGUGAGUCCAUUAAACCUCUUUUCCCUUAUAAAUUACCCAGUCUCAGAUAUGUCUUUCUUAGCAGCAUGAGAACAAACUAAUACAGUAAAUUUGCAUAAGACAUUUGCCCUUCCCUUUGAAAGCAAUGGGAAGCCAUGCUCUGCAUACUCAGAAUAAGAGUGAGAUUGGAAACCAUGGUGAUUGAAGACCUAUUGGGAGUGAAGACUUGAGCCUUGAAGGAGAGAGUGACUGCAAAGUUUCUCAGAUAUCUGCAACUGGGGAUGAUAUCUGGAUGGGAUGCCUGGGCCCUGGGGUUAGUGAGGAGUUCAAAGAAGAAGGAGCAGAAAUGGAUUCAGGAGAGAGUGAGCAGAGACUCAAUGUUCUGUAAGUAAGUGCUCCUACAGGGGAAGGGUUAGAGAGGUCGGUAGAGGGGCCCAGGAUUCCGGGAAGCUGGAGAUUCCAGCUCUAAGACAUGCUAUUGUAGCCUCAAGACAGAUGCACAAUUAUAGGUUGCAACAGUGGAGUGAUUUUGAAGAAGCAAAAAUACUCAGUGCAAUGGACUGAAUGUUAGUGUCCUUCCAAAAUUCAUAUGUUGAAACCCUAAUCUACUAUGUGUUAGGAUUAGGAGGUAAAGCCAUUGGGAGGUAAUGAGGGUGGAGUUCUCAGGAAUAGGAUUGGUGCUCUUAUCAACAGAACCCCAGAUAGCUCUCUCGCCCUCACUCCACCACAUGAGGAUACAAGAAGUCUGCAGUGUGCAAUCUGGAAAGGGCCCUCAACAGAACCCGACCAUGCUGACACUUUGAUCUUGGACUUCCAGGCUCCAGAACUGGGAGAAAUAAACUUCUGUUGUUUGCAUGUCACCCAGUCUAUGGGGUACUUUGUUGUGGCAGCCCAAAUGGGCCAAAACACCCACAUUCAUCACUAGCAGGCCCUGGACAUAUUAUCCUAUUGAUUCUCAGCUCCGCUCUCUUGCACCGUGGGCACCCUAAAACAAGACACAUAUGUAAAAAUACAUGUAAACAUGGCACCCUGAUAUGUACGCAGGGUGGGCCCCAGAUGUGCCUAGCAUGCUAACAGUAUAAAUCCUGGCCUCAGGCAAACGGCCUUCUUGACCUUCCAAAGGACUAAUAAGCAGCCCUCCCUUGAGAAGGCCUUUCUCCUUUCAUGAUUGUUCCUUUUCUUGCAUGGUAGAUUUUACCUUUGCUAAUAUGCAGUGGUUAAAAAAAAGAAAAAAAGGAAAGGAAAAAAAGCAACCCUACCAAAUAGAAGGGACUUUGAAAGUGUGAAGACUGCUCAGUUCUCUGACAAGCCCUGCUGCCUGAGUCCCCAGUGGGGCACUGGAAUAAAAUUAGGACUGUAUGAAGGAUGAAUGGGUCGUCUGUCUCCUGCAGAGCCCUGCCGUGUGGACAGGGCCAGAGUCAUCACUUGGUGCAUAAGCUGGAAUAGAGCGCCUUUCAUUCAGAGUUCCCAGGACACUUCACAGCUGCUAAAAUGAUCCUAAGCAAAUAUUUGUAGCCACACAAUACAGGUGGGAAUAUGGAGGUACCAAGAAGAAAAAGGAUUGGCCAAAACCCCCAGAGUCAACUCCAGAGGUAGGACCAGAAGCCAGGACCUGAGCCAGUUCAGGGCUCUGUCGGCAGGAUCAGGCCUGGGAAAGGAGGGUGGGAUUUCGUGACUAAGAAGAGUGGUGAUCAAACAAAUUUGGGGGGUCCACAGUAACAGCUGGCUGUGAGCCCACUGCUUCCUAAUCCAGUGCCACUCAGGCAAGUGUGUUCGGUGCCUUGGUGACCUGCAGCUCUAAGUGGCUAGAGAGCUUUAAUAAUUCAAGGCCUCUGAUUAGACUGACAGUGUCUGUCCGAGGGAGAUGUGCUGUUGAGUGUUUUCUGUGUUCCAGACAAAUUCACUUACAGUUUCAAUUAAGCCCAUUUCUUGUAUACUGGGGCCCAAAAGGCAAACGCACAAAACGGGCAUGUGAUUGUGCUGCCAAGACAAGGGUGAGCACAAGAUAGUCUGCCUACCAGAGGCUGUAGGCUGGAGUCCAGGUUGAGACUUGAAGUCAAGAUAAAAAAGCGUGCUUGAAUAUGGUCUUUCAGGGUGGAGACUGCCACAUUCUUGUCACUAUUGAUCUUCAAAUAAACAAAACUCCAAUAAAAUGUUAUCAUUUGGAAUCAAUUGGAAU